CCUACGGGAGGCAGCAGUGAGGAAUAUUGGUCAAUGGCCGAGAGGCUGAACCAGCCAAGUCGCGUGAGGGAAGACGGCCCUACGGGUUGUAAACCUCUUUUGUCGGGGAGCAAAGCGAACCACGUGUGGUUCAUUGAGAGUACCCGAAGAAAAAGCAUCGGCUAACUCCGUGCCAGCAGCUGCGGUAAUACGGAGGAUGCGAGCGUUAUCCGGAUUUAUUGGGUUUAAAGGGAGCGUAGAUGGGUUGUUAAGUCAGUUGUGAAAGUUUGCGGCUCAACCGUAAAAUUGCAAUUGAUACUGGAAGG
rnacentral:rRNA from 1 species